UUGACGGAGUCUCGCACUGUCGCCCAGGCUGGAGGGCAGUGGCGCCAUCUCGGCUCACUGCAAGCUCCGCCUCCCGGGUUCACUCCAUUUUCCCGCCUCAGCCCUCCGCCACCACGCCCAGCUAAUUGUUUGUAUUUUUAGUAUAGACGGAGAUUUCACCAUGUUAGCCAGGAUGGUCUCGAUUUCCUUACCUCAUGAUCCCCUGCCUCGGCCUCCCAAAGUGCUGGGAUUACAGGCGUGAACCAAGGCGCCCGGCCGGAGUAGGAAUUUUAUGGGUUAUAAACUAAGGAUAUGGAGGUCGACUUGAGGAAGAAACCUGGAGUAUAAAAAUUCAGUUUGGAAAAAGACGUUUUGUCUCUUAAACUGAAGCACAUUCCUGCCAUUCAUUCGGACCAUACGAAGAUAAAACUAAAAACUUUUCUCUAAAGCUCCUGGUGAUGGUAGUUGAGUCAAUGAGCCACCAGCAACAACAAAGGACAAAAAGACUGCCAAAAAGUUCUAUGGCACAAGAAGUUUGAGAACUAGUGCUGUGGAUACCAUCUAUACAGCAAAGCACUAUGCUUCUGACGAUAGACCCUGCUUUCCUAAUUGAUCAAGAGAUAAAUAAGUGAUUCCAGCUGGCUAAAUGUGUGUUGCUGGCAAUAUGUGGCCCCAGGGGAGAGGCAAAAGUGGAGGUUCCCGAGUCAUCUGAGAUUUGUUGCCUCGGAACAGGAUCCACAGCUCAAUAAUAGUCACUGUACUGUCAUUGUUUAUUUGAAAUCUAAAGGUGUAAUGCAAGAAUAUGCAAGACCACAGGGACUGGAGACACAAAGAGCAUCUGAAGAGAGCUUGAAUGACUCCCAACAGUUCCAGUCUCAAAGUUACCAUGUGCAGCACAGUCAGGGCAGCAUGUGAGAAGAACAACAAGAAAGCUGGGGUCUGCCAGAGAAGACGGAAGCCCUCACAUUAAACUGAGUCAGCUGGCAUCUUGAUCUUGGACUUUCAAAUCUCCAGAACUGUGAGAAAUAAAUUAAGGGAAGAGACAGCUUGGAGUCUCCCACGGAUACAUGAAUGCAUCUACCUGGAAAUAAUACAUCACUUCCACUCACGUUUCAUUGGCCGAAGAAUAUCAAGGGGAUGGGGAAGUUCAGUGACCACUCCCUUCCACCCCCACCAUAAACUGAAGGAAGAGAAGAACUGGAAACACAGGUGAGUAACCUAAAUGUAUACUACAGAAGAGCUGAUAGAAUCGUAGGUGGGAAAUCCAUGAACUCUUUAACUACUUCAAACAUAUACACUGUAUUGCUGAAUUAACAAAUAUAACUAAUUUUGAAUAAGAGGGAUUUUCUGAAAUUAUUCUCAAUGAUUUGUCUAUAAAAGUCAAUGAAAUUAUUAUUAUAAAACUUGCACAAUGUGCAUAUUUAUAAAGUACUGUAUUUCAUCAAAUAUUUAAAUGACAUUUCAAUAUACAAAAAAAUCCAUAGACUAAUUUCAUUAUUGUCACAGGCAGAAUAUUAUAUUACUUGAAAAGUGCUCAAUAAGAUUGAUUUGUGUUCUCGGUGACAUGUAGUCUCCACUGACCACUUGCCAGGUUGGGUUACAAGAGCCUUUCAAACCACAAACUGUGCUGUGGUCUUUACAAUGCAAUGCCUGGAAUGCUUACACUAAGCUCUGAAACACUACAAAAUAUCAAUGGCCAGUUCACAGCCACUACCAAUCCAGGCAGAAGCACUUUGCUUCAAAUUGUUUGAAGUAGCUAUUAGUGUAAAUCAAAGAUUUCAUGUAUUCUCAUUUUUUUCUAUACCCUUCUAGAAUAUUCAUAAACAAAUUGCACAUCUCUUGCAUCCACUGGAAAAAAUCACCACUUGAUAAAUCUUUAGCUACCAUAAUUUAAUCCCCCACCCCCUUUUAAAUAAACCCCA
rnacentral:lncRNA from 10 species